GACGAACGCUGGCGGCAUGCUUAACACAUGCAAGUCGAACGGAAAGGCCCUGCUUUUGUGGGGUGCUCGAGUGGCGAACGGGUGAGUAACACGUGAGUAACCUGCCCUUGACUUUGGGAUAACUUCAGGAAACUGGGGCUAAUACCGGAUAGGAGCUCCUGCUGCAUGGUGGGGGUUGGAAAGUUUCGGCGGUUGGGGAUGGACUCGCGGCUUAUCAGCUUGUUGGUGGGGUAGUGGCUUACCAAGGCUUUGACGGGUAGCCGGCCUGAGAGGGUGACCGGCCACAUUGGGACUGAGAUACGGCCCAGACUCCUACGGGAGGCAGCAGUGGGGAAUAUUGCACAAUGGGCGGAAGCCUGAUGCAGCAACGCCGCGUGCGGGAUAACGGCCUUCGGGUUGUAAACCGCUUUCGCCUGUGACGAAGCGUGAGUGACGGUAAUGGGUAAAGAAGCACCGGCUAACUACGUG
rnacentral:rRNA from 1 species